rnacentral:rRNA from 1 species
UACGUAGGGGGCUAGCGUUGUCCGGAUUAUUGGGCGUAAAGAGCUCGUAGGUGGUUCGGUUAGUCGGAUGUGAAAUCUCCAGGCUCAACCUGGAGGGUCAUUCGAUACUGCCGUGACUAGAGUUCGGUAGAGGAGUGUGGAAUUCCUGGUGGAGGCGGUGAAAUGCGCAGAGAUCAGGAGGAACACCGUAGCGAAGCGGCACUCUGGGCCGAUACUGACACUGAGGACGAAAGCGUGGGGGAGCGAACAGG